GACGAACGCUGGCGGCGUGCUUAACACAUGCAAGUCGAACGGAAAGGCCCUGCUUUUGUGGGGUGCUCGAGUGGCGAACGGGUGAGUAACACGUGAGUAACCUGCCCUUGACUUUGGGAUAACUUCAGGAAACUGGGGCUAAUACCGGAUAGGAGCUCCUGCUGCAUGGUGGGGGUUGGAAAGUUUCGGCGGUUGGGGAUGGACUCGCGGCUUAUCAGCUUGUUGGUGGGGUAGUGGCUUACCAAGGCUUUGACGGGUAGCCGGCCUGAGAGGGUGACCGGCCACAUUGGGACUGAGAUACGGCCCAGACUCCUACGGGAGGCAGCAGUGGGGAAUAUUGCACAAUGGGCGGAAGCCUGAUGCAGCAACGCCGCGUGCGGGAUGACGGCCUUCGGGUUGUAAACCGCUUUCGCCUGUGACGAAGCGUGAGUGACGGUAAUGGGUAAAGAAGCACCUGCUAACUACGUG
rnacentral:rRNA from 1 species